rnacentral:rRNA from 2 species
UCGACCUGAGCUCAAGCAAGAACACCCGCUGAACUUAAGCAUAUCAAUAAGCGGAGGAAAAGAAACUAACAAGGAUUCCCUUAGUAAUGGCGAAUGAAA